rnacentral:tRNA from 1 species
GCCCGCAUGGUGGAAUUGGUAGACACAGCAGACUUAUAAAUCUGCUUCGCGGCAACGCGAGUGCCAGUUAGAGUCCGACAGCGGGCACCA